CUUGGGUUUGGUUGUGAUGCCGAGCUUCUGAGAUUGAGUAACUUGCUUAUGUGAUGUUAUGAUAUGUAUAUGUGCUUUGGAACAUUGUUGAGGAACCUGUAAAACUCAGCUCCUCUGGGAGCCUUGAAAUAUCUGGUUUCUGUAAAAUGCGCGAUUCACCUUUUAUUGAUGUUAUGAUAGCACUUAACUUGGAUCAAGCAGGUACGGGAACUGGAAAACAAUGAAUACUUCAAUGUUGGUAGAGGAUUUGUUCUAACCAACAAUGGUAUAGUAGAAAUGGAAGCAUGUAUCAUGGAUGUGAAUACAAAAAGCUGUGGGUAAUUUACGGCCUAACCAUUGUUGUCAAUGCUAUAGCUUUGGCUAGGCCAGUCAUGGAAAAAACUCCACAUAUAUAUCUUGCAUUUAAGGGAGCUGAAGCAUUUGCUAGGGAGCAGAUGUUGAUUCGACUAGAAUCAAUGAAGGUUGUGGAUUGAAGAAAGGUUGUGGAAGAGCUAGAAGAACCGUCCGAGAAAAGAAGAAGAAGAUUAUAUUAGACAUUCCAGUUGAUAAAGAGAGGCAGAGAAGUCGACUAAGGUUGUUCCCUCAACAAAGCCAUCAAAUAAUUUGGAAAUAAUCGCUUGAAGCUGUCAUCCAUUUCCAAACAAGUAGAAAAAACUCACAAGAGGAGACAAACGGAAGACACUUGCUAGAGAGGAGAAAUACACAACAGUGAGAAGAUUAUAUAGUACUUUUCAGGACAAUUACAUUUUGGUCACAUGACGUAUUAGUUUGUUAUAAAUUGAUUGGAUUAGUGACAAAUUUUUCCCAGUAUUACCUUAUCAAUAAUAUAUUUCAUUCUUUGACUACA